CCACAGGCUUUUCUCAAAGCUACAUUAUUAAAAAUGUCUCUAUCACU
rfam:Monodelphis domestica chromosome 3, whole genome shotgun sequence.